AUGAGAAUCCAGAGGAAAAUAAAUUGGGCCUGUCUAAAGUAAUAUUUCAGUUUUUAAAAACUGCUUAGCCUGAAAAUCAUGUGCCUCAUUUAAUUCCCUGCAGGCUGGAAAUUUGACAGGAGAGAUAAAUUGCACCAGGAACAUUAUUUUCAUUCAGAAAGGAUCCCAUCGAGGACAGUGCAUGACAUUCAGUCCUUGUGUCUUCUUAGACUCUUCUACACUGUGACAGUUUCUCAGGUGCAGUGGCAUGAUCUCAGCUCACUGCAACCUCCGCCUCCUGGGUUCAAGCGAUUCUCCUGCCUCAGCCUCCCGAGUAGGUGGCAGUACAGGCAUGCACCACCACACCUGGCUAAUUUUGUAUUUUUAGUGGAGACGGGGUUUCUCCAUGUUGGUCAGGCUGGUCUUGAACUCCUGAACUCAGGUGAUCUGCCCACCUCAGCCUCCCAAAGUGCUGGGAUUACAGGCAUGAGCCACCACGCCCAGCCUGCCCUUGACAGUUUUAAGGGGUACUGCACAGGUAUUCUGUAGUGGAAUACCCUUUAAUUUUGAGUUUUUCUGAUGGUGAGACGAGUUGUGAGUUUGGAGAGAAGACUGCAGAGAAGUAUCUUUUCUCUGGACCACUAACACAAUCAUGUUGAUACAAUGGAACUCACAUCCCCUCUCCAUAUUUGAUUGGAUCAGGUGUGGACAUCUGGCCCAAGCUGGACCAACAGGCUCCUUCCCUGAGCUUUUGGUGCUGAGAUUAAGAUUCCAGUCUCAACCUGACUUCUGUCACUCUCCCAUGAGAUAGAAGAAUAGAGGAGACAUGGAGAAACACAGUCAAGAGGUAGAGGUGGUGGGAGGGACCUCCUUGAUUCACAAUGGACUCUAUUCCCUUCCUGAAUUCCAGUGGAACCAUGGCCCUGUGUUCUGUGAGACACCCUAGAAUCCUUCAACAAUAUCCACUUUUGGCUGAACCGAGUGGGUUUUGGUCACCUAGAACCAAAAGAAUCCUCAAACGUAACCCGAUUAAGAGCAAAACAACAUGCCUUUGUUUUUUGUUUUUUUUUUUUUUUUGAGACGGAGUCUUGCUCUGUUGCCCAGGCUGGAGUAUAGUGGCACGAUCUCGGCUCACUGCAGCCUCUGCCUCCCAAGUUCCAGCGAUUGUGCCACCACACCUGGCUAAUUUUUGUAUUUUUAGUAGAGACAAGGUUUCACCAUGUUGGCCAGCCUGGUCUUGAACUCCUGACCUCAGGUGAUCCACCCACCUCAGUCUUCCAAAGUGCUAGGAUUACAGGCAUGAGCCACUACACCUGGCCAACCUGCCAUUUUAUAUAUUCUCUGAGUCAUCAGCAUGGGCCUCUCAAAUGAUGGACUUGCUGGAUUUCUGUUUAUUUCCUUCGCUGUGCACUAAGUAGGUCAGCUCCCAAGAAUGACUAGUUUGGAGGUGGAGGGACUAGUGGAAUAUGCUUAGAAUGGUGCCUAAGCCAAGCUGGGAACCAACAAAUUGGUUUUGGGCUCUACUUUAGUUUUUCUUGUUGUUUGUCUGCUUUUUUUUUUUUGGCCUGGGGGGAAAAAAACCCACAAAUGUCUUUCCCCAGUUUCCUUCAGUAACAGAUGCAAAUAGCAGUUUAUACUUGGGAUGGUGCUCGGGGAAAUAAAUAGUGUCUCAGAACCAAUUACUGAAAUGACCAGAAUGGAUAUAAAAUGUGGCUGCAUAAUUUCCUAAGUCCCAUUUCUCAGGGUAAAAAUGGUUCAGAGACCAUCCAAAUGCUUCUCCGAAGAAAUUACACAAGCGAGAUGGAAAAAGAAAGUAUUGGUUUCUCAACGCUGGUAAUAAUUAGGACUUGAAUGAGUGGUGAUAAACCCAUUUACAGACAGGAAGUGUGAAGGCCUGAAUGGCCAGGAGAUUUGCUAAGUGAUGACAAGGUCAAGAUCAGGCCUCUGGCCUCUGAGCCCAGCUCCCUAAGCCUAGUGAACUUUGAAUGACACCUGAUUUUUUGCCCCAUCCAGCACCCAUUUUCUGAUUGCAAUUUGGAGGAAUGAACAUACGACCCAGAACCUGGCCAAUCAGAAUAUUCUACUGCCACCUCUUCCCCUCUCCCCCACCAUAGUAAUCAGUUCAGCCAUGGGCAAAUUAUCCAAGUUGAGGCAAUAAUACUCAGUCCCAUGACUUCCAUUGAAACUUCUAAUGAAACGAUCUCUCUCUGUUGGGAUUGCUACCUGACGGCUAAUGUAAGCUUAGAGCCACUGGGAUUGCCAUAUGGAAAGCAUCUGCCUGAGAGUGAAGCCAACAGAAGUAGAUGCAGAAAAACUGAGUCCUACUGAUGGCAUUUGAUCCCUUGGAUCCAGCCAUGCUGGAUAUGGGAUAUGGGAAACCUUGAAGUACAGUGACUACUGUGGAUAAGGGGUCAAUGGGUAAGUGGUUUCCUUGUGGGAUGAUGAAAAUGUUUGGCAUCUAGAGGUGAUGGUUGCACAAGACUGUGAUUGUACAUAAAGCCACUGAAGGGUACACUUUAAAAUGAUGAAUGCUAUGUUACGUGAAUUUCGCCUUCUUUUUUUAAAAAGGGGGAAAGAGGCCAGGCGUGGUGGCUCACGCUUGUAAUCUCAGCACUUUGGGAGGCCAAGGUGGGCAGAUUACCUGACGUCAGGAGCUCGAGACCAGCCUGGCCAAUAUGGUGAAACCCUGUCUCUACCAAGAAUACAAAAAUUAGCUGGGUGUGGCAGUGUGUGCCUGUAGUCCCAGCUAUUUGGGAGGCUAAGGCAGGAGAAUCGCUUGAACCCAGGAGGCGAAGUUUGCAGUGAGUUGAGAUUGCACCACUGCACUCCUGCCUGGGCAGCAGAGCAAGACUCUGUCUCAAAAAAAAAAAAAAAAAAAAAAAAAAAGAGGUUGGGGGAAGAGCAUAAUUUUAACCAUGCAGCUAUCAGAGAUUUCACAAAAGGAGUGUCACUGAAGCUAGAUAUGGUGGUCAAGAGGCAGGAGAAGGGGGAGAUGCUUUCUAGGCCUAAUAACAAGGUGCUAAGCCCUUCUGAUGGGGUCUGAACAUCUGUUUCCUCCAAAUCUCAUGUUAAAAUUUGAUCCCCAGUGUUGGAAGUGGGGCCUGUUGAGAGGUGUUUGGAUGAUGGGAGCAGAUCCCUUGUGAAUGGCUUCAUGCCAUGUUUGCAGGAUUGAGUGAGUUCUCACCCUUAAUUCCCAAGAGAUCUGGCUGUUAAAGAAGCUGGCAUCUUCCUCUUUUCUCUUCCUCUCUCUUGACAUGUGAUGUCUGUUCCCCUUCACCUUCCACAGUGAUUGUAAGAUUCUUGGGCCCCUCACCAGAAUCAGAUGCUGGCACCAUGUUUCUUGUAUAACCUGCAGAACUAUGAGCCAAAUAAACCUCUUUUAUUUAUAAAUUACCCAACCUCCGGUACUCCUUUACAGCAACGUGAAAUGGACUAAGAUACCUCUACCUACAGUAAUUACAUCGUUAAUCCUCAGAGCAACCCUUGAGGUAGUAAAUAUUACUUUAGCCUUGUUUUAUAGGUAAGUAUGCAAGGGCCAGAAAGGGGACAUAACUUGCC